UACGAAGGUGGCAAGCGUUGUUCGGAUUCACUGGGCGUAAAGGGCGCGUAGGCGGCUUUAUAAGUCGGGGGUGAAAGCCUGUGGCUCAACCACAGAAUUGCCUUCGAUACUGUAGAGCUUGAGACCGGAAGAGGUAAGUGGAACUGCGAGUGUAGAGGUGAAAUUCGUAGAUAUUCGCAAGAACACCAGUGGCGAAGGCGGCUUACUGGUCCGGUUCUGACGCUGAGGCGCGAAAGCGUGGGGAGCAAACAGG
rnacentral:rRNA from 1 species